UACGUAGGGUGCGAGCGUUGUCCGGAAUUAUUGGGCGUAAAGAGCUUGUAGGCGGUCUGUCGCGUCUGCUGUGAAAAUCCGGGGCUCAACCCCGGACUUGCAGUGGGUACGGGCAGACUAGAGUGUGGUAGGGGAGACUGGAAUUCCUGGUGUAGCGGUGAAAUGCGCAGAUAUCAGGAGGAACACCAAUGGCGAAGGCAGCUCGCUGGAACGGUACUGACGCUGAGGCGCGAAAGCGUGGGGAGCAAACAGG
rnacentral:rRNA from 1 species